rnacentral:snRNA from 1 species
UGAUGAACUUAAAUCUUUUAUGA